GACAGAGGGUGCAAACGUUGUUCGGAUUUACUGGGCGUAAAGCGUGUGUAGGCGGCUUCGCAAGUUGGAUGUGAAAUCCCACGGCUCAACCGUGGACGUGCGUCCAAAACUGCGUCGCUAGAGUCUCGGAGAGGAAGGUGGAAUGCUUGGUGUAGAGGUGAAAUUCGUAGAUAUCAAGCAGAACACCUGCGGCGAAGGCGGCCUUCUGGACGAUGACUGACGCUGAGACACGAAAGCGUGGGGAGCAAACAGG
rnacentral:rRNA from 1 species